rnacentral:rRNA from 1 species
GAUGAACGCUGGCGGCGUGCCUAAUACAUGCAAGUCGAGCGAACAGACGAGGAGCUUGCUCCUCUGACGUUAGCGGCGGACGGGUGAGUAACACGUGGAUAACCUACCUAUAAGACUGGGAUAACUUCGGGAAACCGGAGCUAAUACCGGAUAAUAUAUUGAACCGCAUGGUUCAAUAGUGAAAGACGGUUUUGCUGUCACUUAUAGAUGGAUCCGCGCCGCAUUAGCUAGUUGGUAAGGUAACGGCUUACCAAGGCAACGAUGCGUAGCCGACCUGAGAGGGUGAUCGGCCACACUGGAACUGAGACACGGUCCAGACUCCUACGGGAGGCAGCAGUAGGGAAUCUUCCGCAAUGGGCGAAAGCUUGACAGAGCAACGCCGCGUGAGUGAUGAAGGUCUUCGGAUCGUAAAACUCUGUUAUUAGGGAAGAACAAAUGUGUAAGUAACUAUGCACGUCUUGACGGUACCUAAUCAGAAAGCCACGGCUAACUACGUG